CAAUCCCUGAUUAGAGUGGCAAACUGGUGAGUAACAGGUGGGCAAUGUGCCCCAAAGUGGGGGAUAACUCCGAGAAAUCGGAGCUAAUACCGCAUGUGGCGUCAAGGACUCUGGUUCCUGACGUUAAAGGAGCAAUUCGCUUUGGGAUCGGCCCGCCCCGGAUUAGCUUGUUGGUGAGGUAACGGCUCACCAAGGCGACGAUCCGUAGCUGGUCUGAGAGGAUGGUCAGCCACACUGGAACUGAGAUACGGUCCAGACUCCUACGGGGGGCAGCAGUCUAGAGGCUUCGGCAAUGGGGGAAACCCUGACCGAGCGACGCCGCGUGUGGGAUGAAGGCGUUUUCGUUGUAAACCACUGUGUAAGGGGAAGAAUGCCCGGAUGGCGAAUCCGGGAGUGACGGUACCUUUACAGAAAGCCCCGGCUAACUCCGUGCCAGCAGCCGCGGUAAUACGGGGGGGGCAAGCGUUGUUCGGAUUUACUGGGCGUAAAGGGAGUGUAGGCGGUUGGUCAAGUCGGAUGUGAAAGCUUCACCACUUAACGGGAAGAGGUCAUCCGAAACUGGCCGGCUAGAGUAGGGUAGAGGCAAGCGGAAUUCCUGGUGUAGCGGUGGAAUGUGUAGAUAUCAGGAAGAACAUCGGUGGCGAAGGCGGCUUGCUGGGCCCUUACUGACGCUGAGACUCGAAAGCGUGGGGAGCAAACGGGAUUAGAUACCCCGGUAGUCCACGCUGUAAACGGUGAGCACUAGGUGUGGGGGGUAUCGACCCCUCCCGUGCCGUAGCCAACGCUAUAAGUGCUCCGCCUGGGGAGUAC
rnacentral:rRNA from 1 species